rnacentral:piRNA from 1 species
UGAGCAUUCUGGCGUAAUCAGAAUGAGUC